rnacentral:rRNA from 1 species
AGAGUUUGAUCCUGGCUCAGAUUGCCCUCUGGAGGCAGGCUUAACACAUGCAAGUCGAGCGGUAACAGGAGAAAGCUUGCUUUCUUGCUGACGAGCGGCGGACGGGUGAGUAAUGCUUGGGAAUCUGCCUGGUAGUGGGGGAUAACUUGCCGAAAGGUAAGCUAAUACCGCGUACGUCCUACGGGAGAAAGCAGGGGAGCCUUCGGGUCCUUGCGCUAUCAGAUGAGCCCAAGCCGGAUUAGCUAGUUGGUAAGGUAAUGGCUUACCAAGGCUACGAUCCGUAGCUGGUCUGAGAGGAUGAUCAGCCACACCGGGACUGAGACACGGCCCGGACUCCUACGGGAGGCAGCAGUGGGGAAUAUUGGACAAUGGGGGGAACCCUGAUCCAGCCAUGCCGCGUGUGUGAAGAAGGUCUUCGGAUUGUAAAGCACUUUAAGUUGGGAGGAAGGGUUUUUGGUUAAUACCCAAGAAUUUUGACGUUACCAACAGAAUAAGCACCGGCUAACUUCGUGCCAGCAGCCGCGGUAAUACGAAGGGUGCGAGCGUUAAUCGGAAUUACUGGGCGUAAAGCGCGCGUAGGUGGUUAUUUAAGUUGGAAGUGAAAUCCCCGGGCUCAACCUGGGAAUUGCUUUCAAAACUAUUUAGCUAGAGUACGGUAGAGGGUAGUGGAAUUUCCUGUGUAGCGGUGAAAUGCGUAGAUAUAGGAAGGAACAUCAGUGGCGAAGGCGACUACCUGGACUGAUACUGACACUGAGGUGCGAAAGCGUGGGGAGCAAACAAGAUUAGAUACCCUGGUAGUCCACGCCGUAAGGCGCCCUCAAAGAGUUGUUGGGUGCCUUGUGCACUUAGUAACGCAGCUAACGCAUUAAGUUGACCGCCUGGGGAGUACGGCCGCAAGGUUAAAACUCAAAUGAAUUGACGGGGGCCCGCACAAGCGGUGGAGCAUGUGGUUUAAUUCGAAGCAACGCGAAGAACCUUACCUGGCCUUGACAUGUAGCGAACUUUCCAGAGAUGGAUUGGUGCCUUCGGGAACGCUAACACAGGUGCUGCAUGGCUGUCGUCAGCUCGUGUCGUGAGAUGUUGGGUUAAGUCCCGCAACGAGCGCAACCCUUGUCCUUAGUUACCAGCACGUUAUGGUGGGCACUUUAAGGAGACUGCCGGUGACAAACCGGAGGAAGGUGGGGAUGACGUCAAGUCAUCAUGGCCCUUACGGCCAGGGCUACACACGUGCUACAAUGGUCGGUACAACGGGCUGCCAAGUCGUGAGACGGAGCCAACCCCAUCAAAGCCGAUCGUAGUCCGGAUUGCACUCUGCAACUCGAGUGCAUGAAGUCGGAAUCGCUAGUAAUCGCGGAUCAGAAUGCCGCGGUGAAUACGUUCCCGGGC